rnacentral:rRNA from 1 species
GACGAACGCUGGCGGCGUGCCUAAUACAUGCAAGUCGAGCGCUGAAGGUUGGUACUUGUACCAACUGGAUGAGCAGCGAACGGGUGAGUAACGCGUGGGUAAUCUGCCUUUGAGCGUGGGACAACAUUUGGAAACGGAUGCUAAUACCGCAUAAAAACUUUAACCACAUGUUUUAAGAUUGAAAGAUGCAAUUGCAUCACUCAAUGAUGAUCCCGCGUUGUAUUAGCUAGUUGGGGAGGUAAAGGCUCACCAAGGCGAUGAUACAUAGCCGACCUGACAGGGUGAAUGGCCACAUUGGGAAUGGGGCCAGGCCCCAACUCCCAAGGGAGGGAGCAGUAGGGAAUUCUCCGCCAUUGAGGAAAGUCUGAACGGGCAAAGCCGCCGGGGGGAAGAAGGUUUUCGGGUCGUAAAAAUCUGUUGGUUGAGAAGGAAGUUGGGGGGAAUGAACAGCUCAUAACGUGACGGUAACUAAUCAGAAAGGGACGGCUAACUACGUG